UUGCCAUCAAUCCAAAAUCAGCUGAGCUGCAACAUUAUACAGACAGCUCCUCCUUCACAAGUUGGGAUGGCCACUGCAUUUUCAGAACACCACAGAGAUGGUCAGGAGAAACAGGAGUUGAAUGAUGCCAAGGACCAGGGAGACUUUACUAGUAUCAACACAGUUAUGGCAAGCAAAGGUUGCUGGGGACAGGAGCUUCAGGAGGUUCAAAACAAACAACUGACACAAGUUCUGGACAAGACCCAAAGUCCAAACACACAUCUAGCCUUUGUGAGCAAGAUGGCUCUCACGCGGUCAGAUUUUUGGAGUUUGGGUUUGGCUAAUGACAUGGAUGGGAUGAUCCUGAACAGCUGUCUUACAGUUAUUGAGAAGAGAGUAGAUGGCGUGUUUGCUGCCAACAGCCAUGUUAUAGCUGCCUGGUUUCCACCAUCUUCCACCAUCAAUCCGAUGCAACACCUGCCGGAAAAUGCAGCAAAUCUCCAACGGCUUCUCCUUCCAGUGUGGGAACCUGGACACUCUGUAAACCUUGCUCAGAUCUUGUGCCCUGGGCCUUGGGCAAGUCUUGGUGUGGAUGAUGUCCAGGGCCUACCAAGACAAGGGUUCUCGAACAACUGUGGGGUGUUUGUUUUGAUGGUCUGAACAAGAGAGGUCGCAAGACUGCAAGAGGCGACGGGAGGAAAAGGCAAUGCAGGAUGAAGAGGUUGUGAGGUUCCACAAAAGAAGCAGGCCAUCAUUUGAGAUGGGGUCAUGAGUGACCGCUGCUGGGGGGGAGCUGUUACAAUCAGCUGUAUUAGGUUCACUAAUGCCUCAAAAUGUAUUAGUUGUCACGAUCUGUCUGUGUAUUAUUUUGUCCUGUCUUGUCUGUUGCUUUCUGUGUUCAAUAAAAUUGAAAGUCCUGAA